rnacentral:rRNA from 1 species
UACGUAGGGGGCAAGCGUUGUCCGGAAUUAUUGGGCGUAAAGAGCUCGUAGGCGGUUUGUCGCGUCUGCUGUGAAAACUCGGGGCUUAACCCCAGGCCUGCAGUGGGUACGGGCAUGACUGGAGUUCGGCAGGGGAGACUGGAAUUCCUGGUGUAGCGGUGAAAUGCGCAGAUAUCAGGAGGAACACCGGUGGCGAAGGCGGGUCUCUGGGCCGAUACUGACGCUGAGGAGCGAAAGCGUGGGGAGCAAACAGG